rnacentral:tRNA from 1 species
AUUUUAUUAGUAUAAAUAAGUAUAUUUGUUUUCCAAACAAGUGGUUUAAUGUAGUUAAAUAAAAUA